CAGUCGCCGCGGGAAUACGGAGGAUCCAAGCGUUAUCCGGAAUCAUUGGGUUUAAAGGGUCCGUAGGCGGUCUUGUAAGUCAGUGGUGAAAGCCCAUCGCUCAACGGUGGAACGGCCAUUGAUACUGCAGGACUUGAAUUAUUGGGAAGUAACUAGAAUAUGUAGUGUAGCGGUGAAAUGCUUAGAGAUUACAUGGAAUACCAAUUGCGAAGGCAGGUUACUACCAAUUGAUUGACGCUGAUGGACGAAAGCGUGGGUAGCGAACAGGAUUAGAUACCCCCGUAGUCCCUGUCUCUUAUAU
rnacentral:rRNA from 1 species